rnacentral:lncRNA from 1 species
GUCAUGUAAAUGCCAAUGUGAAGACGUAACCAAAUUUUCAAUAGGGCAAGGAGGAGAUGUACCUGGGGAGGUGCAGCUGAUCAGUGUGACCUGUUCUGAAAAAAGAACUUAAUAUCCAUUUGCACUGAACAAAGCCCUGGUGGGUCAUACCAAAAAUUUCCAUGGAGAGAGCUUUGCUGAAAAAAGAGUUUCAGUGGAAUCCAGCUAAUACGGCCAACAUUACAUGUUCUAAUGAAAGUUAGGCAAGCGAAACAUAAACUCUGAAGUCUUCUCAGUUGAAGAAUCAGAGAUUCAGCCAGAGAGUGCCAAUCUGUUUUCUCUUAUCAUCAAACUGACAUCCCUUCAUCGCACAUAUAGUUUAGCCCCUUCAUGGUAUCUCUUUGCUUGUUUCUUGUUUUGUUUGUGAAGUUCACAGUAGGUUUGGGGUUUUUUUUGGUGGAGUUUUUUGGGUUUGCUUUUUUUUUUUUUUAAAUAAAGACAAUCUUGUUCUCAUUAAAUUAUACCAAGGCUCUUUUAGCAUUACUUAUAGCUCUCAGGUUUCGGACAACAGGAAUUUUCCUCUAGUUAUUGAUGAUUAUAUGAUGACUUCCUUUUAGGUAACCACAGCAAGCAUAGGCAAAUGACAUUUUAGCUCUAUUAUUUGCAGUUAUGCAAAUUCUAAGCACAGCAUUUUAUAACACACCAGAGUGUUGGAAUUUCCUUUUCUGUUUGAUAGACUGUUUGAAUGAAUCUUGAGGCUUGAGUCAGUUGCCUAUUCAGAGGUUUUCAAGUGUUAUUUGCAACACCCACAGAUAGCUGAGACAUCUUCAUGGGGCUGGCAGCUAUUACACAGCUCCUGUGGGAUGGCAGCGCUCACCUGGAGCAGCAGCUGGAAAUGGAGCAGAAUUGCAUAUGCAAUGGCACUGGCCACCUAUUCGUUCUGGGCACCUUUUUCCUGUCCUUACCAGACUGACAGAGUUCCCCCACCCAUGACAGGACAGAUUUCAAGAAGAAGGAUCUCCACAAUUACGUUCCGACAGAAAGGAUUGAGAUGUCGUCUGUCUUCUAUUUCUCUUCUGAAACCAGAGUGAUGGGAAGUUAUUGAAAGUGAGCUCUGUGCACACUCUUCAAUCAAAAAUGGUUGAAAGACAAAGCAGAACUACAAGCCAGUGGCUGUAAACUCACCUGGAGUGACAGACUCAACCUAUCUGCAGCGCUGCUCAAUGUUUCACAGAAACAGUUCAGUGAGGAACCAGGUAUAGAUGGAAAUAAGUGCAAUAAGAAAGGAAUAUCUGAAGUGAUGAAAACUAUAAAAGACUGAAAUUGUUUAUUUUGGCAAGGAGACAAGGGAGACACAGCAAAUAGUUCAGGAACGGACAGGAGAGUUGAAACUAGAGGAAAUACUGCUAUUCAAAAAAGGAAAUGCAUUCCUAAUUGGACUGUGGAACUCCUUGCCAUAGAAUAUUAUUAAGGCAAGAGUAUAUCAGGGUUCAGAAAGCAAAGGGAUAUUUCAAUGGUCAUCAGAAUAACCAUAUUGCUAAUUAUUAACUUGAUGAAUGUUUUAUGUUGCUUGUUAACUAUUUAUUCUAUAAUGGAUCAUUGUUAGCAAACAUUUGCCUUUUAAAAUGUCUGACAUCUGUUAUUCUCCUAGAAAGUGAACAAGAUCUUUGGUAAACAUACAUCUUUUCAGUAAAGACUUUGGAAUUACCGUUCAAGUUUUCCAUGGAAAUGAAACUGGACUCCCUAUGGGAAAGAUGGUGGCCAUUAUGAUUGAGACAGCAGGUGCCUGAAACUGUUCCUGCUGAGCACAGUACAGGAUUAAAAUUUUACUAGGUUGGAAGAGCUAUACGAACACAUUUUGCUGAACAGAGAGACAGUAUGAUAAACUGAGGCAUUUUCCAACUAUCCUGAUGUGAAUACAAGUUACAACUCCUUCCUAAACCACAUUUGAAGGCUGCACUGAAUAUUUCUUGCUGACCAAGUCAUAUUUUAAAUGUAGUAGAAGGCAGUUUUUAAUUUCUUCGCUCUCUCAGUAUGUUCAAGGAUAGAUGACACUAUGAAAAUACAGGGACAAUCACUGGCAACCAAAAC